ACUCAAAGGAAUUGACGGGGGCCCGCACAAGCGGUGGAGCAUGUUGUUUAAUUCGAGGCAACGCGAAGAACCUUACCAAGGCUUGACAUGGAAGCGAAGUAUGUGGAGACACAUAUGCCCUUUUGGGCGAUUCACACAGGUGGUGCAUGGUUGUCGUCAGCUCGUGUCGUGAGAUGUUGGGUUAAGUCCCGCAACGAGCGCAACCCUUAUCUUUAGUAGCGACCACGCGAGGUGAGCACACUAGAGAGACUGCCGUGGAUAACACGGAGGAAGGUGGGGAUGAGGUCAAAUCAUCAUGCCCCUUAUGUCUUGGGCUACAAACGUGCUACAAUGGGCGCGACAAAGUGAAGCGACCCCGCGAGGGAAAGCAAAGCACAAAAAAGCGCUCUCAGUUCGGAUCGCAGGCUGCAACCCGCCUGCGUGAAGUUGGAAUCGCUAGUAAUCGCGAAUCAGCAUGUCGCGGUGAAUACGUUCCCGGGCCUUGUACACACCGCCCGU
rnacentral:rRNA from 1 species